AUUGAACGCUGGCGGCAGGCCUAACACAUGCAAGUCGAGCGGAGCGGCGGACGGGUGAGUAAUACCUAGGAAUCUGCCUGAUAGUGGGGGACAACGUUCGGAAACGGACGCUAAUACCGCAUACUAUCAGAUGAGCCUCGGUUGGAUUAGCUAGUUGGUGAGGUAAUGACUCACCAAGGCUACGAUCCGUAACCGGUCUGAGAGGAUGAUCGGUCACACUGGAACGGGGACACGGUCCGGACUCCUACGGGAGGCAGCAGUAGGGAAUAUUGGGCAAUGGACGAAAGCCUGAUCCAGCCAUGCCGCGUGUGUGAAGAAGGUCUUCGGAUUGUAAAGCACUUUAAGUUGAGAGGCGUUACCGACAGAGUAAGCACCGGCUAACUCUGUGCCAGCAGCCGCGGUAAUUC
rnacentral:rRNA from 1 species